rnacentral:rRNA from 1 species
AGAGUUUGAUCAUGGCUCAGGAUGAACGUUGGCGGCGUGCCUAACACAUGCAAGUCGAACGAUCCCUCGGGAUAGUGGCGCACGGGUGAGUAACACGUAGCUUAUCUUCCCCGAAGUGCGGGAUAACUCCUCGAAAGAGGUGCUAAUACCGCAUAAGCUCACGGACUGUAGAGGUCUGUGAGAAAAGGUUUACUGCUUCGGGAUGAGGCUGCGGCCCAUCAGCUAGUUGGCGCGGUAACGGCGCACCAAGGCGACGACGGGUAGGGGACCUGAGAGGGUGACCCCCCACACUGGGACUGAGACACGGCCCAGACUCCUACGGGAGGCAGCAGUGAGGAAUAUUGCACAAUGGGGGCAACCCUGAUGCAGCGACGCCGCGUGAGUGAAGAAGGCCUUCGGGUCGUAAAGCUCUUUUCUGCGUGACGAGUAAGGACGGUAGCGCAGGAAUAAGUCUCGGCUAACUACGUGCCAGCAGCCGCGGUAAAACGUAGGAGACAAACGUUAUCCGGAGUUACUGGGCGUAAAGGGCGUGCAGGCGGUUGAUUAAGUCUGACGUGAAAGCUCCCGGCUAAACCGGGAGAGGUCGUUGGAGACUGAUUGACUAGAGGACGGUAGAGGCGAGUGGAAUUCCGGGUGUAGUGGUGAAAUGCGUAGAGAUCCGGAGGAACACCAGUGGCGAAGGCGACUCGCUGGGCCGUACCUGACGCUAAGACGCGACAGCAUGGGGGAGCGAACGGGAUUAGAAACCCCGGUAGUCCAUGCCGUAAACGAUGCCAGCUCGGUGUUCGUUCUCCGCAAGGGGGGCGGGUACCCAAGCAAACGCGGUAAGCUGGCCGCCUGGGGAGUACGGUCGCAAGGCUAAACUCAAGGAAUUGACGGGGGCCCGCACUAGCACCGAGCGUUGUGUUUA